ACGGAAGGUGCAAGCGUUGUUCGGAAUGACUGGGCGUAAAGCGCACGUAGGUGGGUUUGUGUGUCGGACGUGAAAGCCCUGGGCUUAACCCGGGAACUGCGUCCGAAACUGCGAAUCUUGAAUGCCCAAGAGGUUGGUAGAAUUCCUGGUGUAGGAGUGAAAUCCGUAGAUAUCAGGAGGAAUACCAGAGGCGAAGGCGGCCAACUGGUGGUGCAUUGACACUGAGGUGCGAAAGCGUGGGGAGCAAACAGGA
rnacentral:rRNA from 1 species